rnacentral:rRNA from 1 species
CGGGGUGAGUAAUGUAUGGGGAUCUGCCUGAUGGCGGGGGAUAACUACUGGAAACGGUAGCUAAUACCGCAUAACGUCGCAAGACCAAAGAGGGGACCUUCGGGCCUCUUGCCAUCGGAUGUGCCCAGAUGGGAUUAGCUAGUAGGUGGGGUAACGGCUCACCUAGGCGACGAUCCCUAGCUGGUCUGAGAGGAUGACCAGCCACACUGGAACUGAGACACGGUCCAG